UUAAGUUGAAUGGCAUACUUAUAACCAAUCGAAAGAGCAGAUUUCACUCUUCAAGGUUGCUUAUCCUUACACGACAUAUAUGAGAUACAUUUCUUUUCAGCGCCAUUAUAAUGAGGUUAAGUUCACUGUUGAGAGUAGUGUCUGUAGCACUUGGCAAUUUUCUAUUGUCUUAUAUGUAUUAGUUUGAUAGACAGUUUGAUUGGAUUUAGGUUUUACUUGUAUAUGUUAGUUGAUUAUAUAUUAUUUGUGUUUUAAGAUUUAUAUUUGAAAGGUUUAAUUAUUUUUAAAAUUAUUCUUUACUUUGAAUCACUAAAACAGCUUUGAGACACAAGUGCAAAAAAUAUUAUGCAGGAAGGACUAAACCUAACAGCUGAAGUUAACACUUGUUGAUGUGUGUCAACAUAAAUAAUCAAAGAUAAAGAACAGGAGAGGAAAAUAAAACAUUAAAAAUAAACUAUAAGUGACAAGAUAAAGAUGUGAAAUUACACUGAAGAUGUCAUUAAAACAAGCAUUGAAGAUUUAAAAGGUGCCAUGGUACCUUAGCAGUUAUCCCCCACUUCAGCAUCUAAAGGAUCCUGUCUCAUGCUGAUUGGCUGUCUCAGGGAAAGGGGGAGGGGAGACCGCUAAAGAUGAAAACGUUAUAGUUCCGAAAGUUUCCACCAGAAGGCGCAUGUUAGGCCGCCAUGAAAGGCGGCCGUGAUGUCAUAGUUCCAAAAUUUACAACCAAAGGGCGCGUUAUUAGGCCACCAUGACAGGUAGCCAUAAUGGAUGAUUACAUGAUAGUAGAGGAUGAAUUACUAGGCUGCCUACAAUACAUGUCCCAACAUGUCUAUAAUUAAUCACUAAUUCAUUAAUCGAUGAAAUCGUUUAUAAUUAAAUCAUCCUAAAA